UACGUAGGGGGCGAGCGUUGUCCGGAGUUACUGGGCGUAAAGGGCAUGCAGGCGGUCGGACGCGUUUCCAGUGACAGCGGGUGGCUUCACUACCCGAGUAUUGGAAAGACGGUUGGACUUGAGGACUCGAGAGGGACACGGAAUUCCGGGUGGAGUGGUGAAAUGCGUAGAGAUCCGGAGGAACAUCGAAGGCGAAGGCAGUGUCCUGGCGAGUAACUGACGCUGAGGUGCGAAAGCUAGGGGAGCGAACGGG
rnacentral:rRNA from 1 species